rnacentral:rRNA from 1 species
GUGGGGAAUCUUCCGCAAUGGACGAAAGUCUGACGGAGCGACGCCGCGUGAGUGAAGAAGGCCUUCGGGUCGUAAAGCUCUGUCAUCAGGGACGAACGGCCGGUGGAGUGGAAAGCCACCGGAUUGACGGUUCCUGAGAAGGAAGCCACGGCUAACUACGUGCCAGCAGCCGCGGUAAUACGUAGGUGGCAAGCGUUGUCCGGAAUUAUUGGGCGUAAAGCGCGCGCAGGUGGGAUCUUAAGUCCAUUUUGAAAGUUCGGAGCUCAACUCCGUGAUGGGAUGGAAACUGGGAUUCUUGAGUACCGGAGAGGAAAGCGGAAUUCCCCGUGUAGCGGUGAAAUGCGUAGAUAUGGGGAGGAACACCAGUGGCGAAGGCGGCUUUCUGGACGGUGUCUGACACUGAGGCGCGAAAGCUAGGGGAGCGAACGGGAUUAGAUACCCCGGUAGUCC